rnacentral:rRNA from 1 species
GACGAACGCUGGCGGCGUGCUUAACACAUGCAAGUCGAGCGGUAAGGCCCUUUCGGGGGUACGACGAGCGGCGAACGGGUGAGUAACACGUGGGUGGACCUGCCCUCCAGCUCUGGGAUAAGCCUGGGAAACCGGGUCGUAAUACCGGAUAUGACUCCAUGACGCAUGUUGUGGGGUGGAAAGCCUUGUGCGGCUGAGGAUGGGCCCGCGGCCGUAUCAGCUUGUUGGU